rnacentral:lncRNA from 1 species
CACAUAAUGAGCUGCAUAGAGACCUCCUGGCCAAUGUCUGCUGGAGUUGACACACCACAUUUCACAAGUGCUUUGUUGAAGCUUUUUGCACAACAACAACAACAACGACAACAGACCUCUAUACAUGAAAUGCUAUCCUCAGAUCAUGAAGGGGGCCUUGAGGAAGAAGAGCAGGAUAUGAUGGCACCUUCAUGCACCAGCAACAUGGCAGCACAGCAUUGGAUCACCACCUCUUCACCACUCCGUGACACCACACCACCAGAAGGUAC